GCCAGUUCCACUUAGAACCAUUUCUUAAGUACUUGCAGAAUAUUUUAAAAAUAUUUUCCACUCAGCAAGGCAAUCCAAUUAAUUGAAUAGUUUGCAGAGGAACAAAAUAGCACAUACUGUUAUUGCAGAAGUGGGUUUGUUUUUUUGUGAAUCAAUCCCACUCUAAAUCCAGGGAUCGUGUGAUGUGUUAUAAACUGAAGAGAAUGGCGGGUUAACCAUCUCAAUGAUGUGUUUCUCAGCCUUGUCGUAUUCUUCCUUGUACAGCUUUAUCACAACGCUCUUAUUGUAGUCAUGAAAGAGAUUGUAUUUUCCUGUAUACAUAACCGGUCUACCAUUAAUAACACUGCUAUGGCCAUACCCAGUCACAUUUUGUUUGAUAUCAUGGCAGACUAAACACUGAGUUUGUCUUUCUAAACACGCACUAUGUUUAGCCCUCCACGCAGCGCGUGCUUUUUCAGUUGUUCUCUGAGCAGAGGCUCACGGGUGCCAGAGGGUGUUCACAAUUUUACCUGAGACGAUUAGUGAAGGAGGAGAGAAAAUCGCAGGAGUUGAGGAAACUUUUUCAAAGCUUGAAAAACAUUUAAAAAGGAACAUCUUUCAAAGAAAACACUAUGCUGUUGCCAUCAGAUGGGUCACUUGAAGAUGAGCACAGUAUUGAGGCCCACAUGAGGUUCCUCUAAGAGGAGCACCAGAAGGCUCGACCAAUUAUGCUCAAAUGAUUGACAGCCCAUUAUCAUCGAGCCAGUCUAAAGGACACUUCAAUCAUGGAAACUAUAGUACAAUAUCCAUGGUUAAAAUGCUUAAAUUAGACUGUGGACCAAAUAAAGAUCCUGUUGAAGCGAAAUGGGCCUCGGUCCAUGUUGAUGGACAAGAAGGUGUGCAGGAUGGCAAUGGCAGUAUAGAGGUGACAUAUGCCUUUUAGCAGUUCAGUUAGUUUAUGGGUUGGAAUAUGGCAAAUGUAUUCAAAAUACUCUACGCUUCCUUAAACAUUUUUUUAUGUCACAUACCUGGGCAACCAAAAGUACCAACCACUUGUGUUAGUUAGUGUGUACAAUAUGCUGAAGUGAUUUUUUUUUUUUUUAAAGAUUGAUAAAAUUUUAGUAUGUUCAAAUGUUUCCUCCGAAUAUUUUAUUAAGUUGAGAUUUGCAGAGAGUUUUUAUCUGCUUUAUUAAAUUUGUCUUUUGAGAGAUUUUGAAUUAGCAGUAUGGUUUCAUUUUAAUUCUGUGGCUUUAUGUUUAUGUUUUAAUUAUCAGCUAAUCUAAAAAACACUUUGUAUGGACAUAUUAUUAAAUGUGAACAGCUUGUACACACCUAGUUUUUAAACUUGAUAUUAUGAAGUAUGUAUUAUUAAAAUGUUGUAUAGUUGUAAUUUUAGAUGAAAUUGCCAGUGCCUGUUGUAUUUUUAUCAAACGUUAUUACAUGACUAAUGUAUUCUAUCAGGUGUUUAACCCUCUUGGGUUGUAUUUUAUAAAGAUGCCUUGAUUGUCAAAAGCUUUUACAAUGUCAUUUUAACAUGUCUUCAUUGUCAGCU